rnacentral:rRNA from 1 species
UACGGGGGGGGCAAGCGUUGUUCGGAAUUACUGGGCGUAAAGGGCUCGUAGGUGGCCAACUAAGUCAUACGUGAAAUCCCUCGGCUUAACCGGGGAACUGCGUCUGAUACUGGAUGGCUUGAGGUUGGGAGAGGGAUGCGGAAUUCCAGGUGUAGCGGUGAAAUGCGUAGAUAUCUGGAGGAACACCGGUGGCGAGGGCGGCAUCCUGGACCAAUUCUGACACUGAGGAGCGAAAGCCAGGGGAGCAAACGGG